rnacentral:ncRNA from 1 species
GCACUUUGUUCUGAUGCUAAAUUAACUAAGAUUUCUAAACUACAUAUGGUAAACCAAAAAUUUUGUGAAUAAUCUACAGGUAAGCAAGAUGUUCAAUACAUUAAAACUAAACCUUCAGAAACGGAGUACGAACACACUCCACGGUAAAUCACCCACAACACCAAUGAUUUAUUUUGUUUCAGCUAGGAAACUAGGCAACAGAGAUAGUCAAUCACAAGUGACCAAAUAAGGUGCCAGCAGUCGCGGUUACACCUAAUCUUGAAGUUAAUUCCCACAAUAAAGAGGUCUACAAUAUAGAUGAUUUUAACUUUGCCUGUAAAAGUAAAAUUUAUACUUUGAUAAAUAUACCCAAAUAGAUCUUACUAUUUCCCUCAACAAACCACACCACAAGACAGGGAUUAGAUACCCCAUUAUUGCGUGGCUCAACACAACAAAUACUAAAAACGAAAGUUCCAAACUUAAAGAACGUGGCGGUGUUCUACACCAUAUUAGGGGAUCCUGUGGCUUAAUUCGAUAAUCCACGACUAAACAAAGCUUUAUUAGUUCACAGCUUAUGUAUGGCCGUCUUACGCCUGCGCACUAAUGCUAUAACAGGAGACAACUAAAGUCAAACUUUAACAAUACAGGUGACAUAUAGCCUAUAUAAAGCAGUUCAUGGGAUACAAAUAACUACUAUUAUCCUAAAGUAACUCGAAAUCGUUACAAAAAGGAGGACUUAAAAGUAAGAUUAAAACAAUAUUUUAACCUGAACAAGACAUAGAGCGCGCACAAAUCGCCCGUCACUCCCAGACUCUAAUCGGGACAAGUCGUAACAUAGUAGGGGUAACGGAAGUUGCCCCUAAA